rnacentral:lncRNA from 1 species
UUUGAGUUACGGAUCGGAAAACUAGAGACACACUGAUGAUAGGAUUAUUCAAGCAAAGAUUUCCAUAGCGAACCAUUAAUUUAUCAUACUUCCGAUGAGCAGGUUUUUCUACUUUGCAAAUUAACAUUAGGCUACUUCUUACAAAAAAGACAUCGACACCAGCCAUUGAAUCCGCCUUUCGUACACUUGUAUUUCCCUGAGUGUAUUCGAAGUUAUCAGUUGCGACUCUAUCCAGCACUGGGUCUUGCACAUCCAACUUUUACAGAAUGGGACAGAAAGAUAUUCAUAGCUGCAGCUAUCUGCAAAGAAACAUGAAGCAUGUUUAUGUAUCCAACAUGUUCUUAACUUAUGAACCACAUGUUAUUUAAUCAUUACAUUAAAUUAACAAAAAUGUAAAUCAUUGUGCGUAGGAAAAAAAGAUCAGAAGAAGGCCCUUCUUUCUCGAGUAAAAAUAAAAUCAGAAGACUAAGCAGAUUGUAUAUGAAGAAAAAGGAACAGAACCGAUAGAAGUCGUUAUUUUGCAUCAGAUUAUCAUCGAUUAACACAACAGAGGAGAGAUUGAGGAACACAAACCAGCCGUAAUCUGAUCUGCGUGUAGCAUGACCGCUAAAAGCAGACAGCAGAGAGUAGCAUGUUUCACGUUCAUCUUGUUU